rnacentral:rRNA from 1 species
ACGGCCGCGGUAUCCUAACCGUGCGAAGGUAGCGUAAUCACUUGUCUUUUAAAUGGGGACUUGUAUGAAUGGCAUCACGAGGGUUAUACUGUCUCCUUUUUCUAAUCAGUGAAACUAACCUUCCCGUGAAGAAGCGGGAAUAAACAUAUAAGACGAGAAGACCCUAUGGAGCUUUAAACUCAAUAACAAAUACUAGCCUUGCCUCAACCUUCAGAGUAUUAACCUUAAUUUUAGUAUAAUGAUUAUUAGUUUUAGGUUGGGGUGACCGCGGAGUAAAAAUUAACCUCCACAUUGAACGGGACCUGUCUCUGAGCCAAGAACUACAGCUCGAAGCACCAACAAAUUGACAUUAAUUGACCCAAUAUUUUGAUCAACGAACCAAGUUACCCUAGGGAUAACAGCGCAAUCCACUUUCAAGAGCUCCUAUCGACAAGUGGGUUUACGA